rnacentral:tRNA from 5 species
GGGUCGUUAGCUCAGUUGGCAGAGCAGUUGACUUUUAAUCAAUUGGUCGCAGGUUCGAAUCCUGCACGACCCACCA